UGACAUGUCGCAAGCACACACAGGUGAC
rnacentral:piRNA from 1 species